GAUGAAGAACGUAGUGAAAUGCGAUAAGUAAUGUGAAUUGCAGAAUUCAGUGAAUCAUCGAAUCUUUGAACGCACAUUGCGCCCCCUGGUAUUCCGGGGGGCAUGCCUGUUCGAGCGUCAUUUCAACCCUCAAGCUCUGCUUGGUAUUGAGUCCAUGUCAGCAAUGGCAGGCUCCAAAAUCAGUGGCGGCGCCGCUGGGUCCUGAACGUAGUAAUAUCUCUCGUUACAGGUGCUCGGCGUGCUUCUGCCAAAACCCCAAUUUUUCUAUGGUUGACCUCGGAUCAGGUAGGGAUACCCGCUGAACUUAAGCAUAUCAUAAGCGGAGGA
rnacentral:misc_RNA from 1 species